rnacentral:rRNA from 1 species
AGAGUUUGAUCAUGGCUCAGGAUGAACGCUAGCUACAGGCUUAACACAUGCAAGUCGAGGGGAAACGACAUCGAAAGCUUGCUUUUGAUGGGCGUCGACCGGCGCACGGGUGAGUAACGCGUAUCCAACCUGCCCAUCACUUGGGGAUAACCUUGCGAAAGUAAGACUAAUACCCAAUGAUAUCUCUAGAAGGCAUCUGAAAGAGAUUAAAGAUUUAUCGGUGAUGGAUGGGGAUGCGUCUGAUUAGCUUGUUGGCGGGGUAACGGCCCACAAAGCAACGAUCAGUAGGGGUUCUGAGAGGAAGGUCCCCCAANAUUGGAACUGAGACACGGUCCAAACGUCCUACGGGAGGCA